CGGGGUAUAGCGCAGUAUGGUAGCGCACCAGUCUGGGGGACUGGUGGUCGUCGGUUCGAAUCCGGCUACCCCGACCA
rnacentral:tRNA from 1 species